rnacentral:rRNA from 1 species
UACGAAGGGGGCUAGCGUUGUUCGGAAUUACUGGGCGUAAAGCGCGCGCAGGCGGCUAUCCAAGUCAGUGGUGAAAGCCCGGAGCUCAACUCCGGAACUGCCAUUGAAACUGUUUAGCUUGAGGACGAGAGAGGUGAGUGGAAUUCCCAGUGUAGAGGUGAAAUUCGUAGAUAUUGGGAAGAACACCGGUGGCGAAGGCGGGUCUCUGGGCCGAUAUUGACGCUGAGGAGCGAAAGCGUGGGGAGCGAACAGG